rfam:Schistosoma rodhaini strain Burundi genome assembly, scaffold: SROB_scaffold0001777
AUCCAGCUGACGAGUCCCAAAUAGGACUAUGGCGUUCGCGUCCUGGAU